GGUAGUCCAGUUCCUCUCCUGGCAUCACACAAAACCAAUCAUUGUCAUAUAAAACCCGAAAUGCAUGGAAAUGAGUAUCAAACAAUUGUGGGAGCAACAGUUUUCCACACAGUAUCCACAAUGUAUCUAAAUUAGUCAAAAGAUCAUUCAUAUCCACCACAACAUCUUCAGGAGUAUCCUCUGCAGUUCACUAAUGUCAACUUCAUCCUCUCCAGUGACGUUAUAACGACUUGGCCAAAUAGGGCGCUGUGAGCCACUGGAUUCAGUAGCAGCGCUGAUUCUCACAGCUCUCGCUGGGUGCAGUGGUGCGCGCCUGUAGUCCAAGCUACUGGGUGGCUGAGGCUGGUGGAUCGCUUGAGCUCAGGGGUUCUGGACUGGAGUGGACUAUGUCGAUCAGGUGUCCGCGCCAAGUUGGGUAUCGAUAUGGUGCUUCUGGGGAAGCCCGGGACCACCAGGUCGCCUAAGGAGGGGUGAACCGGCCCAGGUUGGAGACGAAGCAGGUCAAAGUCCCCGUGUCGAUCAGUAGUGGGAUCGUGCCUGUGAAUAGACACUGCAGUGCAGCCUGAGCGAUACAAGGGCGCUGUGAGCCACUGGAUUCAGUAGCAGCGCUGAUUCUCACAGCUCUUGCCGGGUGCAGUGGCGCGCGCCUGUAGUCCAAGCUACUGGGAGGCUGAGGCUGGUGGAUUGCUUGAGCUCAGGGGUUCUGGACUGCAGUGGACUAUGUCGAUCGGGUGUCCGUGCUAAGUUCGGUAUCGAUAUGGUGCUUCUGGGGGAGCCCGGGACCACCAGGUCGCCUAAGGAGGGGUGAACCGGCCCAGGUCGGAGACGAAGCAGGUCAAAGUCCCCGUGUCGAUCAGUAGUGGGAUCGCGCCUGUGAAUAGACUCUGCAGUGCAGCCUGAGCGAUACAGCGAGACUCGGUCUUUUGUGUGAACAGUUAUUCCGUGGAAUCUAAUAAACAGCAGCAACAACAAAUGAACACAAAAUAAAGCCACUAAUGGCCAAAUAAAACUUUCCAAUCCAGUCUUCAUUUAUCAUAAUAAAGUAAAUUUUUUCUA